AGAAGGUUGUAAAGAACCUUGUAAAGUGAUUUUUGUCCCAGACUGUGUUAGGGACAUUUUUCUCCAUAGAUUAAUAAAGAAAAUAUUUUUUCAGUCAUAUUAGUAUGCAUAGAUAAACAUAGUUUUCCUCUUCAGCAACUGGGAUUAUCCCAGCAGUAACUUCUGUCUUAUUGGCUAGGUCCAACCAGGGUUUUGUCCAGAGGAUGUGCCAGAUUAUGCUAGGAUGUUCUCUGGAGCAGCUAAAAGCACAUGUAGUUUGUGGUGAAUGCAAUUUCAGGGAACCAAGGCUUAAUCCCAGAGAUACAAUAAUAUCAGGCAUUGGACAGAGGAGCAAAGUCAGAGACAGCAGCUGAGAAGUUGAGAGCUGGCGUCAUUAGAACAGGCUGGGAAAUAUGAGUGUGAGGCAUGUCUCGGCAGGAAGGUCCAGCAUUGGCCGGGGAACAAAGCAGACUUCUUGGCAUGCCCUCUCGCUGAGGCUAUGUGAACUGCUGGGCAGGCCGGCCUGCUUAAAGAUCUCACUCCGGACAAGUAAACACCAAUACCACCAACCUGAGUAGGCCUUCCAUGAAAUACUGGGGACACUAAGAAGCCACACCCCCUGAAACAUUCUAUGGUCAUUCAGCAUUUGAAGCAAAUUGGAAAGGUGAAAAACCUGAUAAGUGGGUGCCUCAUGAGCUCACCGAAAAUUUUUUUAAAAAUUGUCGUUUUGAAGUGUCAUCUUCUCUUAUUCUAUGCAACAACAAUGAACCAUUUCUUGAUUGGAUUGUGAUGUGCGAGGAAAAGUGGAUUUUAUAUGACAACUGGCGAUGACCAGCUCAGUGGUUGGACCGAGAAGAAGCUCCAAAACACUUCCCAAAGCCAAACUUGCACCAAAAAAGGUCCUGGUCACUGCUUGGUGGGCUGCUGCUGGUCUGAUCCACUGCAGCUUUCUGAAUCCCUGGGAAACCAUUACACCUGAGAAGUAUGCUCAGCAAACCAAUGAGAUGCACCAAAAACUGCAAUGCCUGCAGCUGGCUUUGGUCAACAGGAAGGGCCCAAUUCUUCUCCACCACAAUGUCCGACUGCACAUCACAACCCACGCUUCAGAAGUUGAACAAAUUGGGCUACGAAGUUUUGCCUCAUCUCCCAUGUUCACCUGACCUCUCGCUGAGAAGUAGCUUUGGAGCUUCUUCUCGGUCCAAACACUGAGCUGGUCAUCGCCGGUUGUCAUAUAAAAUCCACUUUUCCUCGCACAUCACAAUCCAAUCAAGAAAUGGUUCAUUGUUGUUGCAUAGAAUAAGAGAAGAUGACACUUCAAAACUACCACUUCUUCAAGCAUCUCAACAACUUUUUGCAGGGAAAAUGCUUCCACAACCAGCAGGAUGCAGAAAAUGCUCUCCAAAAGUUUGUCAAAUCCUGAAGCAUGGAUUUUUAGGCUACAGGAAUAAACGUAUUUCUCACUGGCAGAAAUUUAUUGAUUGUAAUGAUUCCUUUUUUGGUUAAAGACAUGUUUGAGCCUAGUUAUAACGACUUACAAUUCACGGUCCAAAACUGCAAGUACUUUUUGCACCAGCGAGAUGUGCAUAUGAGAAGCUUAUUUCACCAAGCCUCUUAUCUAGUCAUCUGUAUAAUUAUUUCAAGCACAGGAGGGACCCUACUUCUUACUGGGGAGGAUUAAGGAAGGCUUCCUGGAGGAUUGUCUCAGAGCUUGCUGCAGGUGCAUAUUGAAAAGCAAUUCAUUACAAUUUUCUAUAAGAGACUGUGGCUGAACAAUGAUACACAGAUUAGCAAACUGAGGCUUGGAGAAGUGGAAAACUUGCCUAAGAUUAAACAGCAUUAAAGGAACAGAGGCUGGGCUUGCAACUCAGCUCUGGGACUCCAAAGUCUGCCCUUUCCAACUACAUCGUCUUGCUGAUCGCGAGCUCAGUUGAUGGUAAAGACCUGUGAUUUUGGCCAUUACAAACAGUGCUGUUGUGAAUGUUGUGCCUGCCUGUCUUCCAGCUGGACAUAGAGGUCAUUUUGACUGGCGCGGCAGAAUGAGGAGGGACAAGGUAGAGUAUGAGGAUCUCACUUUUUCUGUGAUUUGGUGAACAACAUGAACAACACUGGAGUUUAAAUGUUCCUAAGAGAGUCCCCAGGCUGUCCCUCAACACCAAGCCUCAGCAGCACAUGGGGAUGAACAGGGCACAGCGUCAGUUAAAAUUCAGUCUGUAGGAUCCGCAUUUCUCACCUGUGUCAGAGACACCUGGAUCCCACCCUGCAGGCCCCUCUCCCCUACCAAAGGUCUGUUGGGGCAACUCCCAGAGGGAAUCCAACAUGUGCCCUUGAUUUAGGCAAAUGUAGCUGUGAACGUUCUAAAGAGGAAUAGGAAAGAAGGGGCCUUGGUAUCAGAAUAGACUGAGCAGAAGAGAAAGACCCAGAAAAAGAAAGUAAUAGUAUAUGAUAAGGGGAGCAUUAAUCAAUUAAUUGCAGUGGGAGAAUCUGGCUAAGCAUUGGGGAAAACAGAAAAUUAUUUAGUCCAUAGCUCAUAUCAAAAUUAACUUCCGUAAAAAUAUGACAAUAAAAUAUGGGCAAUUUUUUUUUUUUUUACAACAGAGAAGGAGAGAGACUUUCUAUAUAAUCCAAAAAGUAAACCACCAUCAUCAUCAUCAACAUCUAAUACUCUGUGCUUUACUUCUAUCAAGUAAUUUAAUCCUCACAAUCACUUUGUUUGGUAACAUUAAUUUUUCUCAUUUUCUACAUGGUAAAAUUGAGGCACAGACAGGGUAAUUUUCCAAAGGCCCCAACAAGUGGCAGUGCCAGGAUUCAAAGCAAACAAGUAUGACUUCAGGGUUCCUCCUUCUAUAUUACCACAAAAGAAAAUAUUGAGAGAUGUGAAUACACGAAUUAAAAGCUGUAUGAAAAAAAAUCAUGUAGAGGAAAGGACAAAUGACUGGCGGAGGAGGGGGAAUCCCACCACAUAUGUAACAGAUAAAGCAUUAAUAUCCUUUACAGAACAAUUUCUCAAAUGUUAGUGCUCAGAACACCAAUGUCCUGAACCAUGCCAAUGGGUGUUCUGGGAGGAAAAAGAAAAAAGUCCUCACGGUCAAUGAAGUUUAGGAAAUGAUGUGUUAAAUCUGACCAUGGAAGUCUUUUUUCCCCUCAGUUCACCUAUUAACAUCUCACGGGACAAUAAAACUUCUGAAAUACAGCCCAGAAGAUCUCAUCUUUGUAUGUAAUGAGUUCCUACAAAUCAGGAAGGAAAAUAUGAAAAAUCCCAAUAGAAAAAUGGACGCGAGAAAAAACAGACAGUUCAAAAAAGAAAAAAUAUAAAUAGCUGUAAGCAUACAGAAACAUAUUCAACCUUGUUAUUAACGAAGGAAAAUGAAAUACAGAGGUACCAAUUUUUAUCUUUCAAUUGGGAAAAAAGGCUUACACCCAGCAUUUGUAAGAGUAGGAGGAAAAAACCACACUCUUACAAAAUCAGUGAGAUUGACUAAACAAGUACACCUUUUCUAUGGGAGGGCAAUUUGGCACUAUGUAUCAAAGGUCUUAAAAAAAUAUAUAACUUGAUCUAGCAAAGUUUGUUCAGAGAAACUUAUAAAGAAAUACAGUAGGUCCUAGAAUAAUGUUUUUCCUGUCAUUCAACAUUAUUUUCUUGCAACAUUGACAAGAAAAAAUAUUGAUUCCCUGCCGGGGCCACUGUCUGUGUGGAGUGUGCACGUUCUCCCCAUGUCUGCAUGGCUUCUGUCCAUGCACUCCCGUUGCCUCACACAUUCUGAAGCUGUGCAUGCUAGGUGAACUGGCUUGUCUCAAUGGCCCCAGUCUGAGUGGGUGUGGGCGGGUGUGUGAGUGCACCCUGCGAUAGGAUGACGUCCUGUCCAGAGUUAGUUCCCACCUUGCACCCUGAGCUCCCAGGACAGGCUCUGGUCACCCAAGACCCUGAACUGGAAUAACUGGGUAAAAAAUGACCUGACUUAUUUUUAUUAAUCUUUUAAAAAUGUAUG
rnacentral:lncRNA from 1 species